AUUGAACGCUGGCGGCAUGCUUUACACAUGCAAGUCGAACGGUAACAGGGAGCUUGCUCCGCCGACGAGUGGCGAACGGGUGAGUAAUGUAUCGGAACGUACCCAAGAGUGGGGGAUAACGUAGCGAAAGUUACGCUAAUACCGCAUACGAUCCAAGGAUGAAAGCAGGGGACCUUCGGGCCUUGUGCUCCUGUAGCGGCCGAUAUCUGAUUAGCUAGUUGGUGAGGUAAAGGCUCACCAAGGCGACGAUCAGUAGCUGGUCUGAGAGGACGACCAGCCACACUGGGACUGAGACACGGCCCAGACUCCUACGGGAGGCAGCAGUGGGGAAUUUUGGACAAUGGGGGCAACCCUGAUCCAGCAAUGCCGCGUGAGUGAAGAAGGCCUUCGGGUUGUAAAGCUCUUUUGUCAGGGAAGAAACGGGUUUGGCUAAUAUCCAGAUCUAAUGACGGUACCUGAAGAAUAAGCACCGGCUAACUACGUGCCAGCAGCCGCGGUAAGAC
rnacentral:rRNA from 1 species